rnacentral:lncRNA from 1 species
UGUUCUUAGCAGAUAAGGCGACUAUCACCUUUCUCUUCCAACCCCCAUAGCCAUUACCUGAGAAAGAGAUAGGAACAAGAGAAACACCGGGUACAUCAGAAGAGUAAAUAAAUAGAGGAUUUGUAGGGUCAAUAGGUGAGGGAUUAACAAGGUUCAUAUUUGCCAUCAAAGACAGGAUAAUAGGGAUGAGAAAAGAGAGUGAUACAACAACUAUGAGCUACACAAUACAGCAACAAAAGUACAUGCAAGCUCUAAUCUAGUAGGAGAAUAGGGUUACCAGGCUUCUACGCAACCGGAGAAGACACGACCUUCAAAAAAAUUGCAGAGAAACCCUAGCUUGUGGAGAAAACCCUAGUUUCGUUGUCAGGAAACCCUAGCUUGCAGAAAACCCGGUGGAAUCAGGCACAAGAGGUGUCGGAAAAUCACCCUAACACCUCGCUGGAAGGAUCGGUAACAAAACAACUCCGAUCUCACCAAAAUAUCAAAAAAAAUCCAGAAUUUUCACCAACAACUUUGAAAACUAGAAAUCACCACCGAUAACGCGAUGAACUCAAACCAAAAGAACGGGGAAGAUAGAGAGUAUGUCCGAGAGAAAGAACCAAGCUCUGAUACCAUGUAAACAUGGGGAAUCGGAGUUGAAUCAAGUAUAGAAAGAAGUAAAAUAGAGAGAGAAAAGAGAGAGAAACCCUUCUUUGUAUAUUGACAAA